rnacentral:rRNA from 1 species
GAUGAACGCUGGCGGCGUGCCUAAUACAUGCAAGUCGAGCGAACAGACGAGGAGCUUGCUCCUCUGACGUUAGCGGCGGACGGGUGAGUAACACGUGGAUAACCUACCUAUAAGACUGGGAUAACUUCGGGAAACCGGAGCUAAUACCGGAUAAUAUAUUGAACCGCAUGGUUCAAUAGUGAAAGACGGUUUUGUUGUCUCUUAUAGAUGGAUCCGCGUCGCAUUUGCUAGUUGGUAAGGUAACGGCUUACCACGGCAACGAUGCGUAGCCGACCUGAGAGGGUGAUCGGCCCCACUGGAACUGAGACACGGUCCAGACUCCUACGGGAGGCAGCAGUAGGGAAUCUUCCGAAAUGGGCGAAAGCCUGACGGAGCAACGCCGCGUGAGUGAUGAAGGUCUUCGGAUCGUAAAACUCUGUUAUUAGGGAAGAACAAAUGUGUAAGUAAAUAUGCACGUCUUGACGGUACCUAAUCAGAAAGCCACGGCUAACUACGUG